GCGUCUGCUUCAGCAAGGAGGGGUAUUUUCGUCUUUUCAUUAGGGACUUCUUUGUACCUGAACAUAUGCUUCAUCUUGACCGCAUAGACGACCAACGCCUGCUUCUUCGGCUGUUCUUCCCAACUUUUUGAAAAAAUUCGUCCGAACACAUUUCUGAGUGUAAUUUUCCAUUCAUAAGCUCAAACAUUGAUCACAAGUACAGCUAGCAGGUAGAUCACAAGAUUAUUUAUACGAGGAUUGGUAUUUGCUUCCUCAUGCCUCUGCUCAGUCUCAACUUUGAUUGUGGUUCUUUCUAUAGGUUUGGUACUUUGGUGGUUAGAUAGUGGAUGAUUCUGUAUUUUCCUUAUCUGUGCUCGCGUUAUUGUUCGUGCUUUUGUAUUUGUAUUCUUCUUUAAUUUUGCCCUAUAGGUGUUUGACAAAAUUCCUAUUUCUCCUUUGGCCUGUAGAUGCUUUUGUUGAGUUCUUAAAUUAGAUGAAAGAUUCAACAAGGGAGAGUAGAGUAAUUACGGGCAAAGAAAAUAACAACACAGCACCAUAUCAGCUGAUCUUAGAGAAAAGAAUGAGAAAG
rnacentral:lncRNA from 1 species